CCAUAGCCCCGAUAGUAGCGGUUACCCCGCAGUGGAGUGGGAGAGUUGGAGGAUUUGUUGUUGCCAAGCGCUGGAACGAGGAGUAUGAGCGGAUAGCGGGAUUAAGC
rnacentral:misc_RNA from 1 species